UGUAAGCGUAUACCAAAGUUGUUGCAGUUAAAACGCUCGUAGUCGGACUUUGGCAGUUCCGGAUGUGUGCACGUCGUGUGCGCACUUCGCGGGGAUUGCUUUUGUGGUCUUGCGUAGGAUGAGGCACUUUUAUUAGUGAACGUCCUCACGCAACCACUUUUUACUGUGAGAAAAUCAGAGUGCUCAAAGCAGGCAUUUGCCGUGAAUGUAUUAGCAUGGAAUAAUAGAAUAGGACUUGGUUCUGUUUUGUUGGUUUGUUGGGACUGAGUAAUGAUUAAGAGGGACAGUUGGGGGCAUUUGUAUUUCGGUGCUAGAGGUGAAAUUCUUAGAUUACCGAAAGACAAACUGCUGCGAAAGCGUCUGCCAAGGAUGUUUUCAUUGA
rnacentral:rRNA from 1 species